rnacentral:miRNA from 1 species
AUAUAUAUAUAUGUGUAUAUAUAUAUAUAUAUGUAUAUAUAUAUAUAUACAUAUAUAUAUACAUAUAUAUAUAUAUAUACACACAUAUAUAUAUAUAUAUACAUAUAUA